AAUUUGGCUUGGGAUGCCUUAGGCAUCCCCAAGCUUGAGCUCUUUCCACUCCUUAUCUCUUUGUCCAUGAGAACAUCACCCAAAAGUUGAAAACUUCACAACACAAAACUUAAACAGAAACUCGUGAUAACAUUAGAACAAGAAAACAAACUACCACUUCUUUUGGUACUGUAGCAAACUUGAAUUCUAUCUAUAUUGGUGUUGGGCUACUGUAUUCUCACUUUUCCAGGGCUAGUACCCCCCGAUACUAACCAUAGUUUCAUCAAAACAAGCAACCAACUCAACAAAAAACAGAAUCUGUCAAAAACAGACUAGUCUGUAGCAAUCUGUGUACUUCGUAUACUUCUGGUACCUCAAAAAAUCUGAACAAUUACGACGGCCUAGGCAAAAGGCAUAUCAACCGGCAGCAAAAAGAAUCAACUCAAAAGCUCUUUCUGAAUAAAAAUAAAAAAAAUCAUCCCGUGAGCGAAAAGUUUGUGUCUUUUUCCAGCAGGAUCAAACAACCAUUACCAAGACUAGUCAUAAAGGUUUUGCUUGGCUCAAACACAAAAAGAAACACAACAAACACAAUCACAACAGAAUUGUGAUGGUCUGGACGCAACAAAACAGAAAGAAAAAUAUAAAUUCAUUGGGUUGCCUCCCAACAAGCGCUAUUGUUUAACGCCCUUAGCUAGACAUAAAAGUGAUAGAAUCACGUAUCGUCGUCUUUGGUGCUCAAACCAUAAGUAGCGUGAUCACUUAUC
rnacentral:lncRNA from 1 species